AUCGUGCACGCGUAUAAUGCAUACAGUGCAUGACUGAGAAGUUACUAGUAGACACACAUUUAGCGUACGUUUGGUAAGGUAGUGGCUUACCAAGGUGGUGACGGGUAACGGGGAAUCAGGGUUCGAUUCCGGAGAGGGAGCCUGAGAAACGGCUACCACAUCCAAGGAUGGCAGCAGGCGCGCAAAUUACCCAAUCCAGACAUUGGGAGGGGUACCAUCCGGAAUGAACGUAACACAAAAAAUUCGAUGAGGAUCUACUGGAGGGCAAGUCUGGUGCCAGCAGCCGCGGUAAUUCCAGCUCCAGUAGUGUAUAUCAACAUUGUUGCGCUUAAAACGCUCGUAGUUGGAUUACAGAGUGUCAAACACGACCCUUUUAUAAAGGAUUUGUGGUCUACAGUCGCGGGCCUGUCAACUGACGGCCUUGAUAGUAGAUGACGCUCUUUUGUCGCAUUGACUUUGRCUGGCAACUUUAGUGGGGUCGGCCAAACGUUGAUGGAGUGUGCCUUGAAUAAAACAUGGUGCUCAAAGCAGGCGAAAGCUCGAGUGUAAUAGCAUGGAACGAAUAAUAGAUCUACAGCCGCUUUUGUGGUUGGAUGGUUCAUUUAGUAUUGGUGGUGAACCGGGUCUCAAUGGUUAAAAGGGACAUCUGAGGGCACUAGUACUUUGUGGCGAGAGGUGAAAUUUUUAGACCCACAAACGAAUAUCGUAGUACUACGCAUGACGUCGAUCAGUAGCUUUAGCCAUAGAUAUCUUUAGCUACAGUGAUCAAUCUAACUACUGCGAAGGCAUUUGCCAAGAAUGUUUUCAUUAAUCAAGAACGAAGGUCAGAGGAUCGAAGACGGAAGAGUCACCUUGGUCCUUAAGGGAAACUUAGCUUUCGGGCUGCUGGGAGAAUAUUGCUGCAAGGCUGGCGCUCCAAGUGAGUGCCAUCCGGAAUGAACGUAACACAAAAAAUUCGAUGAGGAUCUACUGGAGGGCAAGUCUGGUGCCAGCAGCCGCGGUAAUUCCAGCUCCAGUAGUGUAUAUCAACAUUGUUGUGCUUAAAACGCUCGUAGUUGGAUUACAGAGCUAAAUUUAAAGAAAUUGACGGAGAGGCACCACCAGGAGUGGAGCUUGCGGCUUAAUUUGACUCAACACGGGGAACCUCACCAGGUCCAGACAUUGGGAGGAUUGACAGACUGGUAGAUCUUGUGCAUGGCCGUUCUUAGUUGGUGGAGUGAUCUGUCAGGUCUAUUCCGGUAACGAGCGAGACCACGGCCUUUUCAGUUACAGCAGUUGUUGUGCAUUCAAUGGUUGCUAACUAGAGGGACAGCCGGUGAAAAGCCGGAGGAAGCGUGGCAAUAACAGGUCUGUGAUGCCCUUCGAUGUCCUGGGCUGCACGCGUGCUACAAUGGCAACAGUAGAGAGAUGCUACCUCGAGAGAGGUCGGCGAACCUGCUAAUAGUUGUCGUGAUWGGGAUUGAGCCUUGCAAUUGUUGCUCAUGAAAUAGGAAUUCCUCGUAAGCACGAGUCAUCAGCUUGUGUUGAAUACGUCUCUGCCUCUUGUMCACACCGCCCGUCGCUACUACCGAUUGAAUUGCUUCCAAAGCUGGCCGGMCCGGACUUGGCUCUUGCCGAGCAUCGAAUGCAUGUCACUCACGAUGCACGUUGUCUACGCUCAAUGCAUCGUAGCACUCAUUU
rnacentral:rRNA from 1 species